rnacentral:lncRNA from 13 species
CCUCCCAUCUGGAGCCGCCUCCUCCCCUCUGGAGCCCUUUCCUACAGUUACCUCUCCUCAGGAGCCCUCUCCUCCUACAGUCACCUCCCAUCUGGAGCCCUCUCCUCCUACAGUCUCCUCCCCCCUGGAGCCCUCUCCUCCUACAGUCAUCUCCCCUCUGGAGCCCUCUCCUCCUACAGUCACCUNNNNNNNNNNGGGACUGCACACAAGGGACUGCACACAAGGGACUGCACACAAGGGACUGCACACAAGGGACUGCACACAAGGACAUAAUUGACUGCACUAAUCAAGAUUUUUCACUGGGAAUGAUCAGAUGAUAAUGUGUUUUUAUCAGGACGCAUCCCCGACUUUUAUCAAGCAGUAUGGACAACCUACAGAAUGGAUCUUCACCGAAGGUAGUGGAGACAUUUUCAUCUGUUAACAUUUACUGACCAGAGUAGAAAAAUCUGACUAGAAAGGGCAUUACUUUUCUCCCCAAUCUGUAUCACAGCACUGACUCCUUGUCAUCUAAUGACUGUUCUUCACCUUUCCUAUCUCUAGCAUGUAGUGGUGAUUCCUGUAGAGGCUGAAGUGUCUACUGCGGUAUUAUAACUGUGAACAAAACUCUUCACUUUCAUAUCUAACCAUUACUGUUCCCUUUGUGUUUGGGUCACACUUCUGACCACAUUGUUUUGUCUUGUCAAUCAGAAUUUUACANNNNNNNNNNUCCCCCCUGGAGCACUCUCUUCCUACAGUCACCUCCCAUCUGGAGCCCUCUCUUCCUACAGUCACCUCCCAUCUGGAGCCCUCUCUUCCUACAGUCACCUCCCAUCUGGAGCCCUCUCUUCCUACAGUCACCUCCCAUCUGGAGCCCUCUCUUCCUACAGUCACCUCCCAUCUGGAGCCCUCUCUUCCUACAGUCACCUCCCAUCUGGAGCCCUCUCUUCCUACAGGCACCUCCCAUCUGGAGCCCUCCCCUCUGGCGCCCUCUCCUCCAGUAGUCACCUCCCCUCUGGCGCCCUCUCCUCCAGUAGUCACCUCCCCUCUGGCGCCCUCUCCUCCAGUAGUCACCUCCCCUCUGGCGCACUCUACUCCUGCAGCACAGCCUCCACUAGACCAAACACAAUAAUUAGUGUAUAUUUAACCUCUGCAUAUCAUUAGUUCCCUAACGAAGGACAUCCAGAUCAAUGAUUGGAAAUGACAAGAUCAUAAAUAAAUUAGUCCCACCGAUAGUGUGCCACACCAAUCAAUGGCCAUGUUAAAUGCUUAUUAGAGGAGGAGGGAAAGGAGUGGGUGUGGAGGAUGGAAUGGGUAGGAGGGGACAGGGAUGUGGCUGAGGCUUAAGGGGAGAUGGGGUGUAUAUAUAAAGAUAUUGGGUGUGGAGGAUGGGAGGGGUAGGAGAGGACAGGGAUGUGGCUGAGGCUAAAGGGGAGAUGGGGUAUAUAUAAAGAUAUUGGUCUGUGGGUUAAACUGUAGGGGGUUGCCUGUAUGUGAUUGGUGUUAUACAUGUGGAAGUUUCAGAAAAGUUUGGCAAUGGCGGUACUCUAAAUAUCAUGUUGGACUGUGAAUAUUUGACUGAUGUUCCACACCAACAGGUGUCAGUGUUGUCUGUAGAAUAAGUUGCCGUGACGAUGCCUACUAACACCACUUAUCACUGUCGUUUAUUGCUCUUUCUCUACAAUUUUGUAUUGUGCUGUCAGGCCAUUAUAAUCUCUCAACUAAGAGGAAUUAGUGUGUCAAUUAAUUUUGACUGAAAGUGACUAAUGUCGUCUAACAAAGGUUGGACCUUGCUGGAAGUAAACACUUUAAAGUCGAUUUACAGAAUGAUAAUGACAACUCUUGUCUUUCAUUGUUCCUUUCCCCACAUACUUUAUAAUGGUAGUUCCCAGUCCUGCUGGUGUUAGUCAGGGCAUCAGCGGGGUCAUGGUAAUACUAUCUCUGUUACAGCCCCUCAUCUCAAUGUGACACAUUUGUCAGGACAUACGUGAUUACAACACCCCCCCCCAAAUGUCUCUCUGACGGGCAGGAGGUGAACAGGGGUAUGAUGCCAACGCAAGGACAUGAUUGGAUGUCACAGCACCGGUCAAGCACAAAGGCUCAUCUUGCGUGGUCCGAUGGACACUUAAUUAACAGGACGUCACAGUCAGGAUUUGGCCAGAUGCCCUAAUGGGAGUCAGGAUGGUCAAGACAGAUGCCCUAAUGGGAGUCAGGAUGGUCAAGACGGAUGCCCUAAUGGGAGUCGGGAUGGUCAAGACAGAUGCCCUAAUGGGAGUCAGACACAGUGUUUCAACUCACCCGCCCAAAUAUGGUGGGGACAAAAGAGCCUUCUGUGUGGAAACAACCUUAAAGCUGGGGGGUAUGCCUUUGAACUGCUCUGUAACUGUUAGCAGUAAGUAGAAAGACCUUUCCUCUCCUA